rnacentral:tRNA from 1 species
CAAAGGUAGCGUAAGCACUAUAGUGAGUCGUAUUAGCGUAUCUGUGAAAACCAGGUCGUUAUGA